CCUUUACUGACGCUAAAGCUCGAAGGUGCGGGUAUCGAACAGGAUUAGAUACCCUGGUAGUCCGCACGGUAAACGAUGGAUGCCCGCUGUUUGCGAUAUACUGUGAGCGGCCAAGAGAAAUCGUUAAGCAUCCCACCUGGGGAGUACGCCGGCAACGGUGAAACUCAAAGGAAUUGACGGGGGCCCGCACAAGCGGAGGAACAUGUGGUUUAAUUCGAUGAUACGCGAGGAACCUUACCCGGGCUUGAACUGCCAGUGAACGAUACAGAGAUGUUGAGGCCCUUCGGGGCGCUGGUGGAGGUGCUGCAUGGUUGUCGUCAGCUCGUGCCGUGAGGUGUCGGCUUAAGUGCCAUAACGAGCGCAACCCUUUUCUUUAGUUGCCAUCAGGUGAUGCUGGGCACUCUGGAGAUACUGCCACCGUAAGGUGUGAGGAAGGUGGGGAUGACGUCAAAUCAGCACGGCCCUUACGUCCGGGGCUACACACGUGUUACAAUGGGAGGUACAGAGAGAAGGUGUUCCGCAAGGCGCAUCAAAUCCUCAAAGCCUUCCUCAGUUCGGAUUGGGGUCUGCAACCCGACCCCAUGAAGCUGGAUUCGCUAGU
rnacentral:rRNA from 1 species